AUGCACGCUGACAGAAUGCUUAACACAUGCCAGUCUUUGGCGAAGCUGUGCUUGCACAGCCUAGCCAAGGCGGACGGGUGAGUAACGCGUAAGGAACUUGCCCUGCAGUCAGGGAUAACAGACGGAAACGACUGAUAAGACCUGGUAAAGUCAGGCGGACUCAUGUCCAGCCUGAUGAAAAGAGAUGCUGCAGGAGAGCCUUGCGUCCUAUUAGCUUGUUGGUGGGGUAACGGCCCACCAAGGCGAUGAUAGGUAGCCGGCCUGAGAGGGUGGACGGCCACAAGGGGACUGAGAUACGGCCCUUACUCCUACGGGAGGCAGCAGUGGGGAAUAUUGGACAAUGGGGGCAACCCUGAUCCAGCAAUUCUGUGUGCACGAUGAAGGUUUUCGGAUUGUAAAGUGCUUUCAGCAGGGAAGAAAAAAAUGACGGUACCUGCAGAAGAAGCGACGGCUAAAUACGUG
rnacentral:rRNA from 1 species